rnacentral:lncRNA from 1 species
UCUCCUAGGCCUAUAUAAGCAGCACCAGUUCUGGGCUCGGGGUCUUUUUGCCUCUGCAAUCAAGCUCUCCCAAUAAACGUGUGCAGAAGGAUCCUGUUGCAGCGUCGUUCUUGCUGGUCGAGUCCGGCGCGCGCAAGAAGUGGUGCCGAAACCCGGGACAAGAAACAUCUUCAGGCACGAGCGAAGACCCCCUGCUACAGGGAGGAUUCAGAACUGCAUCGCGGGGAAGGAGCGGUUAAUAAAGGUUCCCGUAAAACAGACUGCUGAGAAGGAUCCGGCGUGGAUUCAGAACUCUUCAGCUGGGGAACGGUGGUAAUGAAGUGUUCCUGCAAAACAGACUGCUGAGAAGGAUUCAACUGUGUGGAUUCAGAACUCUUCAGCUGAGGAAUGGUGGUACCGGUAAGUAUAAAGAAAUUAAGGUAAGUCUCUGAGAGAUAUGCUUUCUUACGCAGUAGGUCUGGUAAUUGUUGCUGGGUUUGUGUGGGACCAGCUGUUAAGGAAGGGCAGCGACUUUGUAGGAGUACCAGGAAGGCAUAUCAGAAACAGAGAGAAAGAAAAAAGAAGACGCGCGCAGAAAAAUAAGUAACUUAAGAAAUAU